rnacentral:lncRNA from 1 species
GACUGCUGAUAUUAAUGAGUUUUUGGAAUACGAGAGAUCUUCGGCUAUUUUGCUAUUUUGAUAGUUGUGAAAUCAUCAUUGGGCUGUCGUUUUGGUAAGAUAAUUCGACGUCCAGGAUAUUUGGACGAUUUGAUUCUGACUAGUAGAUCUUGACCACAUGUCCAAAUAUCAUUGGAUCGGAGCUGUUCACACAGAUAAUGGUGAGAUGGCAUGAUCUGGGAGCAGAUGUGUCGAACCG